GUUUGCUUGUUAGUGGUAAUCAAUAUGGAACUCAAAUUAUGGGUUCUAAUAGCGCUCUUGCCUAUGUUGGUUACAACAAUCAAUGCUCAACUUCUGCCAUGCAUAAGACUUCCCAUAUUUGGCACACCAAUAUUUUGCCCAUCUCCUCCACCACCACCUAGGUCUCCGCCACCACCAUCACCACCUCCACCUCCUCCAUCUCCACCACCACCGCCACCUCCUCCAUCUCCACCACCGCCUUCACCUCCACCUCCAUCCCCUCCUCCACCUCCACCAUCACCUCCACCACCUUCCCCUCCCCCGCCUUCACCUCCCCCACCCCCAACCCUUCCUCCUCCACCAACGUCACCACCUCCCCCUCCGCGUUCACUUGUUUGCACGAUAUUACCUCUCCCAUUACUUUGCCCAACCCCACCUGCACCACCUCCACCUCCGCGUACUCCACUUCUUUGCACAGUAUUACCUCGAGCAAUAUUUUGCCCAUCCCCACCACCACCUGUCUGAUUGAUCUCUAUGAUCAACCUCUAUCACACUAAAAAGUACUAUUGUUGCUUUCCAACCCCUCUUUCAACAAUAAUAAUUUUCUUAUGCACGUUAAAUAAUAAAUUUCCUUGGUAAUUAGUAAUCUUUCUUCGAUGGAAAAAUUACUAGCUAAUAAGUG
rnacentral:lncRNA from 1 species